rnacentral:lncRNA from 1 species
CCAUCUCUCAAUGUGAACAGACUCCUGAAUGAACCUGAGCAAUGAUAUGCAUGUGCAAGUUAGCUUUUUUCUUUUUUCUUUCUCUCUUUUUUUUUGCAUUAUUUUUUUUGAAAAUAAACAUGCUAUGAUGCAAAUGAUGAGACCAUGACUGGUUGGAUGUGUAUCACAAGGCACAGGAUCAGAGCUUCGGCAUGAACUCGGCCUCAGAAACC